rnacentral:rRNA from 11 species
GAAGGUGGGGAUGACGUCAAGUCAUCAUGCCCCUUACACCCUGGGCUACACACGUGCUACAUUGGCCAAGACAAAAAGUUGCAAACCUGUGAAGGCUAGCUAAUCUUAAAACUUGGUCUAAGUUCGGAUUGAAGGCUGCAACUCGCCUUCAUGAAGAUGGAAUCGCUAGUAAUCGCUGGUCAGCUACACAGCGGUGAAUCCGUUCCCGGGCCUUGUACACACCGCCCGUCACACCAUGGAAGCUGGCUAUGCCCAAAGUCGUUAUUCUAACCGUUUGGAAGAAGGCGCCUAAGGUAGGGCUAGUGACUGGGGUGAAGUCGUAACAAG